rnacentral:rRNA from 1 species
AGGUGACCUGCGGAGGGAUCAUUACACAAAUAUGAAGGCGGGCUGGAACCUCUCGGGGUUACAGCCUUGCUGAAUUAUUCACCCUUGUCUUUUGCGUACUUCUUGUUUCCUUGGUGGGUUCGCCCACCACUAGGACAAACAUAAACCUUUUGUAAUUGCAAUCAGCGUCAGUAACAAAUUAAUAAUUACAACUUUCAACAACGGAUCUCUUGGUUCUGGCAUCGAUGAAGAACGCAGCGAAAUGCGAUAAGUAGUGUGAAUUGCAGAAUUCAGUGAAUCAUCGAAUCUUUGAACGCACAUUGCGCCCUUUGGUAUUCCAAAGGGCAUGCCUGUUCGAGCGUCAUUUGUACCCUCAAGCUUUGCUUGGUGUUGGGCGUCUUGUCUCUAGCUUUGCUGGAGACUCGCCUUAAAGUAAUUGGCAGCCGGCCUACUGGUUUCGGAGCGCAGCACAAGUCGCACUCUCUAUCAGCAAAGGUCUAGCAUCCAUUAAGCCUUUUUUUCAACUUUUGACCUCGGAUCAGGUAGGGAUACCCGCUGAAC